GAGGAAGUUACGAAGGGCACACGGGGGAUGCCUAGGCUCUUAGAGGCGACGAAGGACGUGAUAAGCUGCGAAAAGCUGCGGGGAAUGGCAAAUACAUAUAGAUCCGCAGAUAUCCGAAUGGGGAAACCCACCAAGUUGAAGACUUGGUACCAUUAUAAAUGGGGCGAACGUUGGGAACUGAAACAUCUAAGUACCAGCAGGAAGAGAAAACAAUAGUGAUUCCGUAAGUAGUGGCGAGCGAACGCGGAAGAGCCCAAACCGAUGUUGUUACGGCAAUAUCGGGGUUGUAGGACUGCGACGUGGAAUAUAAAAUAUUAGAAGAAUUAACUGGAAAGUUAAGCCGAAGAGGGUGAUAGUCCCGUAUUCAAAAAUGUUUUAUUACCUAGCAGUAUCCUGAGUAGGGCGGGACCAGAGAAAUCCUGUCUGAAUCAGCCGGUACCAUCCGGUAAGGCUAAAUACUACUAAGAGACCGAUAGCGAACAAGUACCGUGAGGGAAAGGUGAAAAGCACCUCGAACAGAGGAGUGAAAUAGUACCUGAAACCGUGUGCUUACAAGCGGUCGGAGCACCAAUAUGGUGUGACGGCGUGCCUUUUGCAUAAUGAGCCUACGAGUUACAUCUCACUAGCGAGGUUAAGUGCCGUGAGGUAUGCAGCCGAAGCGAAAGCGAGUCUGAAUAGGGCGUUAUAGUUAGUGGGAGUAGACGCGAAACUUUGUGAUCUACCCUUGAGCAGGUUGAAGGUUGGGUAACACUAACUGGAGGACCGAACCCGUUGAUGUUGAAAAAUCUUGGGAUGACUUGAGGGUAGGGGUGAAAGGCUAAUCAAACUGAGAGAUAGCUCGUACUCUCCGAAAUGCUUUUAGGAGCAGCCUCAUAUUAGUAUCAUAGAGGUAGAGCUACUGAUUGGAUGCGGGGGCUUCACCGCCUACCAAUUCCAGACAAACUCCGAAUGCUAUGAUAUGAUUUAUGGGAGGAAGGCUAUGGGUGCUAAUGUCCAUAGCCGAGAGGGAAAGAACCCGGACCAACAGCUAAGGUCCCAGAAUGUAUGCUAAGUUGAUAAAACGCGGUGUGACUGCAGAGACAGCUAGGAUGUUGGCUUGGAAGCAGCCAUUCAUUUAAAGAGUGCGUAACAGCUCACUAGUCGAGCGGUCGUGCAUGGAUAAUAAGCGGGCAUAAGCAUACUACCGAAGCUUUGGGUUGUACAUUUAUGUACAGCGGUAGGAGAGCAUUCUAACGGCGUAGAAGCAGCAUGGUAAUGUGUUGUGGAGCUUUUAGAAAAGCAAAUGUAGGCAUAAGUAACGAUAAAGCAGGCGAGAAACCUGCUCACCGAAAGACUAAGGUUUCCUGAACAACGAUAAUCGGUUCAGGGUUAGUCGGGACCUAAGGUUAAGCCGAAAGGCGAAAUCGAUGGAUAAUUGGUUAAUAUUCCAAUACUAUCUUUAAUUGCGAUGGAGAGACGGAGAAGUGAAAGGUACGCGUACUGACGGAAUAGUACGUUAAAGGGUGUAGAUAUAUCGACUAUAGGCAAAUCCGUAGUUGAUGUCGAACCUGAUAGUACAGAGAGGCUACGGCUGAUCUGAUAGUUACCCUAAACAGGCUUCCAAGAAAAUCUUCUAAGCUAUAGAUUAAAGAUACCCGUACCGCAAACCGACACAGGUAGUCGAGGAGAAUAUCCAAAGGUGCUCGAGUGAUCCGUGGCUAAGGAACUAGGCAAAAUAGUCCUGUAACUUCGGGAGAAAGGACCCCUACCCAGCGAUGGGAGGGCGCAGAGAAAUGGCCCUGGCGACUGUUUAGCAAAAACACAUGGCUUUGCAAAAUCGAAAGAUGAAGUAUAAGGCCUGACACCUGCCCGGUGCUGGAAGGUUAAGAGGAGAUGUCAUUCUUCGGAAGAAGCAUUGAAUUGAAGCCCCAGUAAACGGCGGCCGUAACUAUAACGGUCCUAAGGUAGCGAAAUUCCUUGUCGGGUAAGUUCCGACCUGCACGAAUGGUGUAACGAUCUGGGCACUGUCUCAGCCACGAGCUCGGUGAAAUUGUAGUAACGGUGAAGAUGCCGUUUACCCGCAACGGGACGGAAAGACCCCGUGAACCUUCACUACAACUUAACAUUGGUUUCGGAUAAAUGAUGUGUAGGAUAGGUGGGAGACUGUGAAGCAGGUACGCUAGUAUUUGUGGAGUCAACGUUGAAAUACCACCCUUUAUUUAUCUGGAGUCUAACUUGCAAAGCGAGGACAGUGUUUGGUGGGUAGUUUGACUGGGGUGGUCGCCUCCAAAAGAGUAACGGAGGCUUUCAAAGGUACCCUCAGCACGCUUGGUAACCGUGCGCAGAGUGCAAUAGCAGAAGGGUGCUUGACUGUGAGGCCUACAAGCCGAGCAGGUACGAAAGUAGGAUAUAGUGAUCCGGUGGUUCCGCAUGGAAGGGCCAUCGCUCAAAGGAUAAAAGGUACUCCGGGGAUAACAGGCUGAUCAUUCCCAAGAGCUCAUAUCGACGGAAUGGUUUGGCACCUCGAUGUCGGCUCGUCACAUCCUGGGGCUGGAGAAGGUCCCAAGGGUUGGGCUGUUCGCCCAUUAAAGUGGCACGCGAGCUGGGUUCAGAACGUCGCGAGACAGUUCGGUCCCUAUCUGUUGUGGGCGUUGGAAGUUUGAGAGGACCUGACUUUAGUACGAGAGGACCGAGUCGGACAAACCUCUAGUGUACCGGUUGUGGCGCCAGCUGCACCGCCGGGUAGCUAUGUUUGGAAGGGAUAAGUGCUGAAAGCAUCUAAGUACGAAACCCGCCUCAAGAUGAGACUUCCCUGAGGGUGGUUGAAGAUUACGACCUUGAUAGGCUGCAGAUGUAAAGGUAGAGAUACCAAAGUCGAGCAGUACUAAUAACCCGAAAUCUUCCUCUA
rnacentral:rRNA from 1 species